AUUUUAGAGAUGUGCUUUGUCCAGUGCAAAUCACUGCUGACAGUAAUGCCCAGGUUACAUUCACAAGAAGGCUUCUUGAUAUUAGUGUUGUGGAGAGAGUAUGUGGAUGCUGGGUUUUUCCUCCCAAAAUGCAUUGUGGUACAGUUGUCCACAGACUACUAAGUUUGAGAUGAGAAUGUUUCCUUUUUAUAUG